AUGUCGCAACAGUGCUAAUUUUGCGUCAAUGAACUGAAAGCAAAAUUCAGUAAAACUGGGAACAGAAAGAGAUACAAGCCCCAAGUUCCAUGUACUAAGCCAUAGCCCUUAGACGUGUUGAUGCAGAAGUAAACCCCAUCGAGUUGAUUUGUGCUUUCCCUUCACAGUCACUGGAUCACAGUCUAAAACCAACCCAAUAAGAAUUCUAGUCCUCGUGAAUGUGCAAAAUGCUCAUGGGCAAUGCCCAAUAUUUUCCUCUUCAAAGGCUCCAGCUUUCUGGCAUCAGAAAGUCCCACUGACAAUCAGAAUUCACAUCCCUCUUUUCCCCUUUAGCAGAUGACAAAUACUUUUCUCGGCCUCCUCUUGAUUAUACCAAAAAAGAAAAGAGGGUGAUGACCGACCGACUUCAAAACUCCAUUUAAAUAGUUCAGUGAGCACCUGCCUGCAACUGGAAAAAGUGCAGCCCAGGUAUAAGCUUGCCACCUCGGUGCGAACGGGAUCUGCCAACAAAGACUCCACUGCAAAAUCCAACCUCGCGCCAGUCUGAAUGCGAACUGACAGCAACCCAUCGGCCUCGGCAGAUGUUGAAUGAAAUUCCCUGCCUGGCUGUCAGCAGCCUGGGCACAUUUUGACAGCUUGGGAGCAUCCGACUGUCCUCCAGCAAUACGGCUUUCAUGAGAGAAACAAACACUAAUAUCUGAAAGGAAAACCGUUCAGCAGCUCACUCUUGUCUGUUCUCAGGCCCUCGGAGGCAGGCCCGAGUCUCUGUCUGCACACUUUAAUUCUCCGAAAGAGCAGCGUGACCUCUGCGGCAAAUGUCUGUGUAACAUUUGCAGAAGAGAUCCUCCCAAUAUCAAAAAAGGCCACAGCCGAGUUCCUCUCCGGCACAAGAGAAGUGAUGCCCUUUGCGGCAUGCUUUAGAGGCUCUGAUCUUCCUCACUAUCCCUUGGACACCCAAACCCUUGUUUGACUUGGCCGACUCAGUUUCACACAUGCAGUUUCCACUCUGGCGUCCCGGUAGCAAGCUACCUGCCCUCAGCAAGAUACCUUCUCACCUGUCUCUCUCCAAGGCCACUUGGGCCCAUGAGGAAAAGAAGGGGUCCAUUUCCAGGGAUGGC